AUUGAACGCUGGCGGCAGGCCUAACACAUGCAAGUCGAACGAGUGGCGGACGGGUGAGUAAUGUCUGGGAAACUUCCCGAUGGAGGGGGAUAACUACUGGAAACGGUAGCUAAUACCGCAUACCAUCGGAUGUGCCCAGAUGGGUUUAGCUAGUAGGUGGGGUAACGGCUCACCUAGGCGACGAACCCUAGCUGGUCUGAGAGGAUGACCAGCAACACGGGAACGGAGACACGGUCAUGACUCCUACGGGAGGCACCAGUGGGGAAUAUUGCACAAUGGGGGCAAGCCUGAUGCAGCCAUGCCGAGGGUAUGAAGAAGGCCUUCGGGUUGUAAAGUACUUUCAGCGAGGAGGCGUUACUCGCAGAAGAAGCACCGGCUAACUCCGUGCCAGCCGCCGCGGUAAUAC
rnacentral:rRNA from 1 species